AUUGAACGCUGGCGGCAGGCCUAACACAUGCAAGUCGAGCGAGCGGCGGACGGGUGAGUAAUGUCUGGGAAACUGCCUGAUGGAGGGGGAUAACUACUGGAAACGGUAGCUAAUACCGCAUACCAUCAGAUGUGCCCAGAUGGGAUUGGCUAGUAGGUGGGGUAAUGGCUCACCUAGGUGCUGAUCCCUAGCGGGUCUGAGAGGAUGACCAGCCACACUGGAACGAGGACAAGGUCCAGACUCCUACGGGAGGCACCAGUGGGGAAUAUUGCACAAUGGGCGCAAGCCUGAUGCAGCCAUGCCGCGUGUGUGAAGAGGGCUUGCGGGUUGUAAAGCACUUUCAGCGGGGAGGCGUUACCCGCAGAAGAAGCACCGGCUAACUCCGUGCCAGCAGCCGCGGUAAAC
rnacentral:rRNA from 1 species